rnacentral:rRNA from 1 species
AGCGAGCGAGGGAGGGAGGAGGAACAAAGGCAAGUCGAACGGCAGCACAGUAAGUGCUUGCUCUUACGGGUGGUGAGUGGCGGACGGGUGAGGACUACAUCGGAACCUACUUUUUCGUGGGGGAUAACGUAGGGAAACUCACGCUAAUACCGCAUACGACCUACGGGUGAAAGCAGGGGAUCUUCGGACCUUGCGCGAUUGUAUGAGCCGAUGUCGGAUUAGCUAGUUGGCGGGGUAAAGGCCCACCAAGGCGACGCACAGUAGCUGGUCUGAGAGGAUGGACAGCCACACUGGAACUGAGACACGGUCCAGACUCCUACGGGAGGCAGCAGUGGGGAAUAUUGGGCAAUGGGCGCAAGCCUGAUCCAGCCAUACCGCGUGGGUGAAGAAGGCCUUCGGGUUGUAAAGCCCUGUUGUUGGGAAAGAAAAGCAGCAGGUUAAUACCCCGCUGUUCUGACGGUACCCAAAGAAUAAGCACCGGCUACCUUCGUC